GUGCUCCCUACGGUGGCACAUAUACUAAAAUUGGAUCGAUACAGAGAAGAUUAGCAUGGCCCCUGCGCAAAGGA
ensembl:snRNA U6 U6 spliceosomal RNA